rnacentral:tRNA from 1 species
GGGGUCGUGGGGUAGCCUGGUCUAUCCUGCCGGCUUCGGGUCCUUGGGCGGAAGAGCCGGUGACUCGAGUUCAAAUCUCGGCGACCCCACCA